UACAGAGACCCCGAGCGUUAUCCGGAAUUAUUGGGCGUAAAGGGUGUGUAGGCGGCUUUGUUAGUCUUACGUUAAAGCUCCGGGCUUAACCCGGAAUUCGCGUAGGAAACGGCAUCGCUAGAGGACAGGAGAGGUGUACGGAACUCAUGGUGUAGGGGUGAAAUCCGUUGAUAUCAUGGGGAACACCGAAUGCGAAGGCAGUACACUGGCCUGUUCCUGACGCUGAGACACGAAAGCCAGGGUAGCGAAAGGG
rnacentral:misc_RNA from 1 species